GGAGGGGUGGCAGAGUGGUCGAAUGCGCCGGUCUCGAAAACCGGUAUGGGUGCAAGCUCAUCGUGGGUUCGAAUCCCACCCCCUCCGCCA
rnacentral:tRNA from 12 species